rnacentral:misc_RNA from 1 species
UCUUUUGCAUGAAAGCAUUCUCAACCAACACUAAUAUAUCCUGUCCAAAAGACUUCGAACCAUUGGCUUGGAAACUGGUGAAAAGGUGUGAAGGCCUACCCCUUGCAAUAGUGGCUUUAGGUGGUCUUAUGUCAUCAAAAAGGUCAAUAACAGAGUGGAUUUAUGUUUGUGACAACUUGAACUGGCAACUGAGCAAUAAUCAGAUGCUGGAUGUAACAAAGAAUAUUUUGCUGCUUAGUUUCAAUGA